AUGUCAAUUAGCCUCCUCUGUGUGUUACUACUUACUACUCCUCUGUGUGUUACUACUUACUACUCCUCUGUGUGUUACUACUUACUACUCCUCUGUGUGUUACUACUUACUACUCCUCUGUGUGUUACUACUUACUACUCCUGUGUGUUACUACUUACUACUCCUCUGUGUGUUACUACUUACUACUCCUCUGUGUGUUACUACUUACUACUCCUCUGUGUGUUACUACUUACUACUCCUCUGUGUGUUACUACUUACUACUCCUCUGUGUGUUACUACUCCUGUGUGUUACUACUUACUACUCCUGUGUGUUACUACUUACUACUCCUCUGUGUGUUACUACUUACUACUCCUCUGUGUGUUACUACUUACUACUCCUCUGUGUGUUACUACUCCUGUGUGUUACUACUUACUACUCCUCUGUGUGUUACUACUUACUACUCCUCUGUGUGUUACUACUCCUGUGUGUUACUACUUACUACUCCUGUGUGUUACUACUUACUACUCCUCUGUGUGUUACUACUUACUACUCCUCUGUGUGUUACUACUUACUACUCCUCUGUGUGUUACUACUUACUACUCCUCUGUGUGUUACUACUUACUACUCCUCUGUGUGUUACUACUUACUACUCCUCUGUGUGUUACUACUUACUACUCCUCUGUGUGUUACUACUCCUGUGUGUUACUACUUACUACUCCUCUGUGUGUUACUACUUACUACUCCUCUGUGUGUUACUACUUACUACUCCUCUGUGUGUUACUACUUACUACUCCUCUGUGUGUUACUACUUACUACUCCUCUGUGUGUUACUACUUACUACUCCUCUGUGUGUUACUACUUACUACUCCUCUGUGUGUUACUACUUACUACUCCUCUGGGCUGGAAACUCCUGUGUGUUACUGCCUCACUGCCCUGGCACCACAACACAUCUGCAACCAGUUACACACACACACACACACACACACACACACACACACACACACACACACACACACACACACACUGCAUCACCUAACUAG
rnacentral:lncRNA from 1 species